CCCCAGCUGCAGACAGAGGGCUGGCGGCUCCCUGGGCUCCAGAGAUCUUCGCACAUCCCUGCUCUGCCAGGGCUCCCACCUUGCAGACAGGAGAAGGUGGCUGAGGCCCAGCCAGAGCCCCCCACAGCCUCGCAGCGGAUAGCUAAAGAGGAAGCCUGGCUCAGCUACGCCUGGAGUCCGCCAAGAAGGGACAGCGCUCAAUGGUAGAAUGACACAUGGGUGCUCUAACAGAUUCCCGUUUUGUGAAGAUGGACAAGCUCUAAGCAGGAGGACUUACAGGAGGUCAGCGGCUGGUGGCCCUGGCAGGGCUAUCAUGGACCUGUUCCAUGAAGAAAGAGACACAGAUCUCUCUGUGGAAAGGUGCAGGCUCUGCUGCAGGAGGAAAAUGGCAACAAGAAGCCCAGUUGGUGAGUUGAUGGGACUCCGUGCAGCCAUCUCGCGUGGCCACCGUGAAGUAUGGACCAGCCCAGAGAAGAGUUUGUGUCUUUAUUUUCCUGUCGUGGAUGCAGAGAGCUCCUGCGGGUGUUUACAAAAGGUCCCUUGGUGUCAUUCUGCUUCUUGGCCCUCCAUCACUCAUGGAAUCACAGCUGAUGCCUGGGCUCACAGUUCUCCGAGAAAUCACUGGUGCCAGGGAAAAGUGUUCUCUGAUUGAUAUAGCACACUUGCUAUGUUUCACAGUUCAGCCCAAGCUCUAGCUGCUAUUUCUUAAGCAAAUGUGUGCUGUCUUCGUGGAGGUGGCAGUGGAGAAAGGAAAAUAUCAGCUCUCAGUGAUAUCACUAACAACACCCAGGGCAACAAUUACGCUGGCACGUCCUUUACUCUGGGACCUGCCUGGCCCUGAGGCCGUGUGGGCUUUGCUGGUCGGGUCCUCCCAGCCCUAAGAGGGGCAGGUCUCAGGAUCCCAUUUUGCAGACCGGGAAGUGGGGUCACCAGACAAGGACUGCACACUGUCCCACAACAAGGAGUUGUUGGAUCCCAGUCCCAAACCCAACGUGUGUGACUUCAGAACUGGUGCUCUGAGGAGCUUCUCAGUCACCAUCACUGUGCACUCCCUUAGCAGGGAUGGAUGUGGAAACUCACUCCUGAAUUGGACAACUAUUGCUGUUUUCCGUGGAGCUGCCAGAGGGAUCAUUGUAGAGCAACGGUCACCAGAGCACCACUCAGCUGUAAACACUCACUGCAACGAAGCUAAACCCAGACGACAGAUCUGGCAUGGCCUGGCCUCCGCUGCUCCCCAGCCUGGAGGACUCUGGCCAUGCCUCGGGGACAUUUCUAGGCUGGAGCAUAGACGAGCCAGUGCACGGACCUCCAGUUCUGAGUCCUGCCCUAACACCUGGGAGGAACGUGUGAGUUGUUGAUGAGCCGCGAUCUGUAGCCAUGCUGGAGGAGUUGGCAUGAAUGGGAAAUCCACCUUUCUUGCAAACUCCGACAUGCCACUGAGAAUUCAGAGUGAUAAGCUUAGCCUAAAGCUGCCUCCUCACAUAAGUUCAGCCUAAAUG
rnacentral:lncRNA from 1 species